rnacentral:rRNA from 1 species
CCCUUAGAUGUCCUGGGCCGCACGCGCGCUACACUGAGUGUCUGAGAUACGAGUCUGCCUGGUCCGGCAAGGUCUAGGUAAUCGCUAAAAGACACAUCAUGCUUGGGAUAGAUUAUUGCAAAUAUUAAUCUUGAACGAGGAAUUCCUAGUAAGCGCAAGUCAACAGCUUGCGUUGAUUACGUCCCUGCCCUUUGUACACACCGCCCGUCGCUACUACUGAUUGGAUGUUUAAGCGAGGUUCUCGAACUGCUAGCGACUUAGCUUCGGUGAGGUCGCAGUGUGGGAAGUGAACCUAGCUUGGGUGUCUAGAGGAAGUAAAAGGCGUAACA